rnacentral:misc_RNA from 1 species
AAAGUAUUUGUGGAAAAUUUCUUCCAAAAAUAUCCAUUUUUUUCUAAAGUUACAAUGAAACAGUCUAUGGGGCACGUUUAUGUAGUUAUGCAUAGGACGUUUCGCUAUAAUUAGUCCGUACGUGAACUGGUACAUCACUUUCACACCAACCACGUGGACAAUAACUUCCGUCUUUGAUCUCCGCUUUAAUUAAGAAAGCACCCUUGCAUUCGUCUCGCACUUCGCAUAGCACGCUGAAAGCAGACUUUUAUCCUUAAAAGUCCUGCUUUACCCAUAAUGAGUGAUUGGAGACCGUUUGUAUAUGGUGGUUUGGCAUCAGUUACAGCUGAGUGCGGGACAUUUCCAAUUGACACCACAAAAACACGUCUUCAGGUGCAAGGGCAAGUUAUUGAUUCAAGGCUAACAGAAUGCAAGUACCGGGGUAUGUUUCAUGCCUUUGUGAGAAUCUUCCGCGAAGAAGGACUCUUAGCAUUCUAUUCAGGAAUUGGUCCUGCCAUUUUACGACAAGCUACUUAUGGAACUAUCAAAAUUGGUAUUUACCAGUCAAUGAAAAGAAUGUUUGUGUCCAACCCAAUGGAUGAAACGCUCGCUACGAAUGUUUUUUGCGGUGUUGUUGCUGGUAUAGUUUCUAGUUCUAUAGCCAAUCCUACUGACGUACUCAAAGUAAGGAUGCAAGCUAAGACCGAAAGUUUACAGACUUCAAUGUUUCAGUCUUUUAUACAAAUUUACAAGAAAGAAGGUGUUCGAGGAUUAUGGAGAGGAGUCGUUCCAACUGCCCAGAGGGCUGCUAUUGUGGCAGGAGUAGAAUUGCCUGUCUAUGAUAUCACAAAGAAACACAUCUUGAAAUCUGAAUCUAUGGAAGACCAUGCUGGAACACAUUUCGUUGCCAGUUUUACUGCUGGACUUGCUGGUGCUAUAACGUCUAACCCCAUUGAUGUUGUGAAGACUCGUUUAAUGAAUCAACGUGUUUUAAAGACGACCAACGGGACUGCUUCUGCCAUAUACACCUCUUCGCUGGACUGCAUCAUUCAAACUGCCAGAACUGAAGGCUUAAUGGCUUUUUAUAAAGGUUUUAUCCCCACGUGGAUCAGGCUUGGACCCUGGAAUAUUAUUUUUUUCCUAACAUUUGAAAAACUGAAGAAAAUUUAUUAAUUGGACUUUAGAAGAAAUGAACAAAGACAUGUCUGAUUUUCACGAAUCUCAACAAGUUUGUAAUCAGCAUCCAAGAUUAUGAACAAAGCAAUACAACAUAUCUAUUUUCAUUUGAACAUAUUUCUAGAAUCUCACAAUAUUUUUCAGAAAUUCAGGUUUUUUUUAAUUUAUUUUUUCACUUCAUUUUUCAAGCAGUUUUUUGUCAAACGGUCAAGUUCACUUUUGAUGCUUACGAGUUCAGCUUUUUGUUAUUGUGGAGUUUUGCAAUUCUUGCCGCCAAAUACCAACGUUAUGAUGUAAGCCGAUGUCUUUUACAGUACGUAGCAUACAUGGAUUGAUAAAUAUGAUUGAUUUACUGGAUAAUGUCAUUUCUUUCUACAUUCACCUCAUCAUUCAAACAAACAUUUUCAAAUGUUGCCAUCAAUUUCUUCCUUAAACUUCGUUAAGCCCAAUAAUCCCACCUGUCUUGUUACCUCAUUUGUACCUGCCUCAGCAAAAUUCUGUCACAUUGCACUUCCAUCAAUGUCUCCUUCAUUCAUCCUACACUUUAUCGUCACCGUAAAAGUCGAUUCCUUUUACACCAUCAUUCUUCAUGACAUCAGUCUCAAAGUUCUUUAUUUGACCCCUGCACUGCACUCAAUCCCUCCACUGUCACAUCACUGAUCUUCCCAUCUCUAAAUGCUCCUCUUUCUCUCAAAGAGAACGAACAAAACCGUAUUUAGCUUCCUGUAAUUUUCAUGAACCUCAACUAGUCAUGCUCUGAGAUUAAUGAACAAAGCAAUACAUCAUAUCUAUUUUCAUUUGAACAUAUUUCUAGAAAUUCUACCAACAUGUGAGUGGAGUAGACAUGGAGUGUCAGAUAGGUUCCAAUUAAACUUUGUUUUAGACCUCACUGAAACUCAAAUUUGCCCCCCUGUUUAACCCUUUAGUGUUUGCAUUAUUCUACUAAAAUUAAUCCUUUUUCAUCCACUUUGUUUUGAACUAAUUAUGCAUUAUCUUGUAGCUAUGAGAUUUUGAUGAGGUAGCUGUUAAUUUUUAAAACGAUAUUGUAGGAUUGGUGUGAGAGACCUGAUCUGGCCAGUUUGAACAUAAAACAGGCAGAAUACUUUUGGCCGGUUUAAAUGUUAAAGGGUUAAGCAAACCCCUAAACUGCUACACCAGUAAUAGUAUCAAUGCCACUUCACCCCCUUUUUUUUUCUUUAAUGUCUUUCAUCUGCACAAUUCACCAUCAUUACUUCCAAUUUCUUAACACCCCCGACAUUUCUGCCUUUAUCCACAUCAUCCAUCUCUCCACACUACAGAUCAACAAACUCUUGUUUUUGUCUCGACUAAGUUUCCUUCUUAACACUUUCAUCACUCAAUCUGCUUUCCCUUUUCACAUUUUCUUUGGUUCCAUUGCUUUUUACAGUCAGGACACCAGUUUUAAUUAUUUAAUCAAAGCAAAUGCAUCCAUUUUGCCUAUCAAAGUUACCCUGUACAAAUUGUGAAUGUAGACAAAUUACACCCUUGCUUUUAUUGUAUUAUAAUGUAUCUCGUUAAGAUGAUUUAAAUUUAAUGAAGUACUCUUGAAUUAUGAAAUUUUGCUCUAAAAUUACUUCUGGCUUCUUGCUGUAAAAUUCUUUUCCAAAUUCCUUUAAUUAAAAACAGUUUUUUAAUUUACUUCUAAGUUAAAAUGGCUUCUCUGAACUGUGAUAGAAAAAUAAUUUAAUCCUUUUGAUACCCCCUCACCUGAGAUCGUUUCUUGUUCUAUGUUUCAAGCUUUGUUUUAAAAAAAUUCUUAAAACCCUCCCCUUGAUUUCAUGUUAAUUUAUCUUCCAAAGCUCCAAUUUAUUUUCAAAAUUAAUUUGAACAAAAGGCAGCCAAUGUGUUUCAGUGAAAAUAUAGUAAGAGUGGAGGUACGUGGCUCAUUGGUUGAACUUCUGAUUGAAAGCUUCAUCGUUAUCAUUCUUUAACGUCCGUUUUGGAUGAUGAAGAAUUUUUCAAUUGUAAGUCCAACACCCUAACCACUAAGUCAUGUGCCUGGUGAUGUAUUGUGUUCUUGAGCAAGGCCUUUCAUUUCAUAUUGCUCCAGUCCGCUUGGCUGGCAAAGACAAGUAAUCCUGUGACAGACCAUCCCAUGCAAGAGGGGAAUAAAUAUAUACGACAGAAACUGGCCCUAGGGAUCUAUCCAUAUGAUUCUGGAAAGAUCCUUUAUCCAUUUUUGUAUGGUAACAACAGGAUCAGUUCAGAGUAAAACAUUUGUCCAGAAACUAAUAUGGUCUGGCAGCAGUCGAAGAAGAUUGGUUUUUAGCUUUGUCUUCCUCUUAUCUGUUUGGAUAAGUAUUUUGGAUCUCACUGUAUUUGUACUCGUUUUCUUUAUACACCUAAAUCAUACAAGUAACUAUUUAAGAUGUAAUCUCAGCCAGUAAGUAUACUGUUAAGUGUCCAUAAAUAUUAACCUGAUGUAGGUCUUAAGUUGUGAAAGAUUUUGCUUUUUGUCUUCUAGAAUAUAACAUCAUAAAAGAACAGAUUUCCAUCUGUUUAUAGAGGGUAGAAGGGGAAGAUAACAUAUCUUUAUAAGGCAAAGAGAAAAAGUUGAGAGAGAGAGUAUGUGAUAAUUACUAUGGCGACAACAAUACCUAACAAGUUUUGAUUAAAUGCAUGAUUGUGAGUGAGUCUGUCAACACAACGCAACACAGACCUAAAAAAAAAUAUCUAAAAUACAGUUAUCUUUUGAGUUGUUUGUGUCAACAUAUAGACAACACUGACUUUAAAAAGGACUUCACUAUAAUGACUUGUUGAGUGUGUGAAAGAUAGAAUUAAAAUUUGUUUCAAGAAAGAAAAAACAGGUUCUUAUUGAGCAUAUCAAUGUGAUCGCUGUUGUAGGCUUCUGAAGGAGAUGUAUUUCAUGUUGAUUAGGUUGUUACCCGGCAGCGUAGUGACAGGUUACGACUGGUAAUUUAUAAGAAUUUAAAAAAUUAGCUAGUUUAAUCCCUUAACAUAAUAAAGGACCAAUAAACUUAAUUGUUGGUUUACUUGGCAUCAACAUGAAUUCUGACAAUUGGUUAUCAGUGACUAGAAAGAAAUCAAGACUUAUAAUGUUUAAUAUAUAUAAAACAUUUAUUUCUCUGAGGUUUACAUUUGCUUUUGUUAAAGAAAGCAAAUUCUUGAAAGUUCUUAGCAGUUUUACAAUCACUUAUGCCAACUGAUAGCGUUACCAUUCUUUCAAUUCCUAAAUCCAUCAGGACGAGGUAGUUGAAGUGGUUUUGUGAGUUAUGGAUAGCAGAAAACUGCCAAAAUAUAGUGUUUUUUUUGCCCAAUUAUCUUAAAUGGAAAUGAAGUUCUAGUUCAGUUCCUCUUCCACCCCCUCCAACGAUAGAAUCAAUAAAGAACAUCUCCAAAAGUAAAUAGAUCAAUGUGAGUAAAAUUUUGAUUAAUUUCCAAUAAAACAUAUUUCAAUGAAUGAAGGCAGAUAUAAUUUAACAAUAACCCUGCAAAGAAACUUGUAACAUCCAGCUACAAAGUGAUAUCUUUAUAGACAAUUUCCUUUACAUUUGAAGAGAAAUAUCGAAGAUAUUACUUGCUACUAUUAAGGCAGCGAGCUGGCAGAACCAUUAUUAGCAGACCAGACAAAAUGCUCAUUGGUAUUUCUUCUGGCUUUAUGUUCUGAGUUUGAAUUCUGCCGAGGUCGACUUUGCCUUUUAUCGUUUCAGGGUUGACAAAAUAUGUAUCAUUUAAGCACUGGGGGGGUGAUUAAGGUAAUUAACUUGCACCACCCCUCAAAUGUUCAGGCCUCAUACCUAUAAUAGAGAGGAUUAUUGUUUUGUGACUCUGGUCUCUAUUGAAUUAAAUAGUUUACACUGCUUAGAGGGAGGCAAAAAA